AGGAAAGCAGGGGAUCGCAAGACCUUGCGCUUUUGGAGCGGCCGAUGUCUGAUUAGCUAGUUGGUGAGGUAAAGGCUUACCAAGGCGUCGAUCAGUAGCUGGUCUGAGAGGACGACCAGCCACACUGGGACUGAGACACGGCCCAGACUCCUACGGGAGGCAGCAGUGGGGAAUUUUGGACAAUGGGGGAAACCCUGAUCCAGCCAUGCCGCGUGAGUGAAGAGGGCCUUCGGGUUGUAAAGCUCUUUCAGCCGGAACGAAACGGUCACAGCUAAUACCUGUGACUACUGACGGUACCGGAAGAAGAAGCACCGGCUAACUACGUGCCAGCAGCCGCGGUAAUACGUAGGGUGCGAGCGUUAAUCGGAAUUACUGGGCGUAAAGCGUGCGCAGGCGGUUUUGUAAGUCAGAUGUGAAAUCCCCGGGCUUAACCUGGGAACUGCGUUUGAAACUACAAGGCU
rnacentral:rRNA from 1 species